rnacentral:tRNA from 2 species
GCUAGAAUAGCUCAAGUGGUAGAGCACCGGUAUCGUAAACCGUAGGUUGCAGGUUCAAGUCCUGUUUCUAGCUCCA